rnacentral:lncRNA from 12 species
GGAUCUGACAGUCAAUGGAUAAGAAGUGUGGCUGUCUGUCAAAUGAGGAGGUUCUGAGAGCCUGACUCAUUUAUGUUUAAAGUAAUUAUUAAGUGCUUCAGGAACAGUGAUGGGUGCCCAUGGUGCAGAGCAGAGUAAUAUUGAGGUCUGAGGGGAAUACCAUCUCCCUAAGAAUAAAGAGAAGACAUUCUAUGAAGACUAGCUAGCAGGGUGGAAAGAACGUGAGUGUUGAAUGUUGCAUAUUUUUUACUUUCUUAGGGGAAAUUAUUUAACUCUGCUGUGCCUCAAUUUCUUCCUCUGUUAAAUGGAAGCAAUAAUACCUACUUGG